rnacentral:rRNA from 1 species
CGGGUGUGUAAGCGCAGCGAUGCGUUGAGCUAACCGGUACUAAUGAACCGUGAGGCUUAACCUUACAGUACUAAUGAACCGUGAGGCUUAACCUUACAACGCC